rnacentral:rRNA from 1 species
UACAGAGGGGGCUAGCGUUAUUCGGAAUUAUUGGGCGUAAAGGGCGCGUAGGCGGCCAUGCGUGUCUUCCGUGAAAUCCCUCGGCUUAACUGAGGACGUGCGGAAGAAACUGCAAGGCUCGAGUCCGGGAGAGGGGGUGGAAUUCCCAGUGUAGCGGUGAAAUGCGUAGAUAUUGGGAGGAACACCGGUGGCGAAGGCGGCCCCCUGGACCGGUACUGACGCUGAGGCGCGGAAAGCGGUGGGUAGCAAACGGGG